rnacentral:rRNA from 1 species
AUAUUGCAAAAUGGGCGAAAGCCCGAUGCAGCAACGCCGCGUGGGCGAUGAAGGCCUUCGGGUCGUAAAGCCCUUUUUGAGGGGAUGAGGAAGGUCAGUACCCUCAGAAUAAGCCUCGGCUAACUACGUGCCAGCAGCCGCGGUAAAACGUAGGAGGCGAGCGUUAUCCGGAUUUACUGGGCGUAAAGCGCGUGCAGGCGGAUUGGAGAGUUGGAUGUGAAAGCUACCGGCUUAACUGGGAGAGGUCGUUCAAUACUUCCAGUCUUGAGUGCAGUAGAGGGAAGUGGAAUUCCGGGUGUAGUGGUGAAAUGCGUAGAUAUCCGGAGGAACGCCAGUGGCAAAAGCGGCUUCCUGGACUGUAACUGACGCUCAGACGCGAAAGCUAGGGUAGCAAGC